rnacentral:rRNA from 1 species
UACGAAGGGGGCUAGCGUUGCUCGGAAUCACUGGGCGUAAAGCGCACGUAGGCGGAUUGCUAAGUCAGGGGUGAAAUCCUGGAGCUCAACUCCAGAACUGCCUUUGAUACUGGCGAUCUUGAGUCCGGGAGAGGUGAGUGGAACUCCGAGUGUAGAGGUGAAAUUCGUAGAUAUUCGCAAGAACACCCAGUGGCGAAGGCGGCCCACUGGUCCGGUACUGGACGCUGA